UAGGGAAUAUUGCGCAAUGGGCGAAAGCCUGACGCAGCAACGCCGUGUGAGUGAUGAAGGUCCUCGGAUCGUAAAGCUCUGUCAGCGGGAAAGAUGGGUUGCUUGGUGAAUAGCCAAGUGGCCUGACGGUACCCGCAAAGGAAGCACCGGCUAACUUCGUGCCAGCAGCCGCGGUAAGACGAAGGGUGCAAGCGUUGUUCGGAAUCACUGGGCGUAAAGCGCGCGUAGGCGGUCACGUAAGUCAGAUGUGAAAGCCCGGGGCUCAACCCCGGAACUGCAUCUGAAACUGCUUGACUUGAGUCCCGGAGAGGGUGGUGGAAUUCCUGGUGUAGAGGUGAAAUUCGUAGAUAUCAGGAGGAACACCGGUGGCGAAGGCGACCAUCUGGACGGUGACUGACGCUGAGGUGCGAAAGCGUGGGGAGCAAACAGGAUUAGAUACCCCCGUAGUCC
rnacentral:rRNA from 1 species